rnacentral:snRNA from 1 species
AUAUCUUUCUCUGCCUUUUGGCUAAGAUAAAAUGUAAAUUUGCUCUUAUCAAUUUAAUAUCUGAUAUGUGGACUAUAUGUGCACUUUCACAUUAAAUUUAUUUUUAUGGGUAUUAAAUAUGAUUCUGUGUGCCGUCGCAACUAGAUUUUAGGGGUGUUUGGAUACAUCAACUAAA